rnacentral:rRNA from 1 species
AGAGUUUGAUCAUGGCUCAGGACGAACGCUGGCGGCGUGCUUAACACAUGCAAGUCGAACGGAAAGGCCCUUCGGGGUACUCGAGUGGCGAACGGGUGAGUAACACGUGGGUGAUCUGCCCUGCACUUUGGGAUAAGCCUGGGAAACUGGGUCUAAUACCGAAUAUGACCAUGCGCCUCCUGGUGUGUGGUGGAAAGCUUUUGCGGUGUGGGAUGGGCCCGCGGCCUAUCAGCUUGUUGGUGGGGUAAUGGCCUACCAAGGCGACGACGGGUAGCCGGCCUGAGAGGGUGACCGGCCACACUGGGACUGAGAUACGGCCCAGACUCCUACGGGAGGCAGCAGUGGGGAAUAUUGCACAAUGGGCGCAAGCCUGAUGCAGCGACGCCGCGUGAGGGAUGACGGCCUUCGGGUUGUAAACCUCUUUCAGCACAGACGAAGCGCAAGUGACGGUAUGUGCAGAAGAAGGACCGGCCAACUACGUGCCAGCAGCCGCGGUAAUACGUAGGGUCCGAGCGUUGUCCGGAAUUACUGGGCGUAAAGAGCUCGUAGGUGGUUUGUCGCGUUGUUCGUGAAAACUCACAGCUUAACUGUGGGCGUGCGGGCGAUACGGGCAGACUUGAGUACUGCAGGGGAGACUGGAAUUCCUGGUGUAGCGGUGGAAUGCGCAGAUAUCAGGAGGAACACCGGUGGCGAAGGCGGCUCACUGGCUCGAUACUGACGCUGAGGUGCGAAAGCGUGGGGAGCAAACAGGAUUAGAUACCCCGGUAGUCC